GGAAGGGUAACCAGCCGGGGGGAGGAAGGCUAGAGGAAACCGGCGGGCCGACGGACAGAAACCACAUAACAAGGCUGGUCGCGAUACGACGAGCUGGCACAACACAGUAAAGUCGAAGGUCCAAUCGCGGAAGCAAAUGUGGCGGUCGUGCCGGGACGCAACGCGUU
rfam:Lentisphaerae bacterium RIFOXYC12_FTLL_60_16 rifoxyc3_full_scaffold_5530, whole genome shotgun sequence.